UGGUGGCAAAAUCACAUGGUUUAUUGCGCAAAUACGACGCACCGGCCUGCAUGGGGGCAGAGGAAAGCAAUCCCAGUCAGUGUCAAGCAAACUCCUGUGGAAUUUCAUAUCUUUAGGAGGAAUAUUUUGGUAUGGCUAAGCUGGAGGAUUCGUACGGGAGGUCAAAGGUCAUCGCAUCAAGCAAAUCCAGUUGUACUGGCUGGCGUUCAGUAAUGCUUCCUGCUCCCUUCAGAAUGGAAGGUAGGACCGGUGGAUUUAAUCCCAGUUCUUCACCAUUAUUCGCUCAAAGGGCUGACUUCCCCGCUACUGGCUUCGCGAUCCAUCACACGACGGGGGCAAUCUGCCCACAACGUCCUGGAUACGGGGAGGCUGGUGUCCCCCCUCUGGUCAGAGAUCCCGGAGUGCAAGAUGGUCUCACACACCUGCGAGAAGACAUUCCAGCUGUCGGCAACAUUUAUCUGUUCCUGGGGAGGCUGAGGUUCACACGCUUCUCAGUUUUCUCUCUCCACCAUUAACGGUCCUGCCAAUCCGCUUCUGCGUUCGCUCUGCUAAUCACGCUCCAGUGAGUGGCAGAGACCGGAUCUGAUUGGAGGACAAUCUGUCAAUGACCGUCAGCGACUCCUGGGACAGCUGGGACGCAGUUUGCCAGCUUGAGCUGAUCCGCAGCAGAACAACAGUGACUUAUUUCAUUAUAGCAGGAUUCCCGGGUCGCAAAAUUCUGAAAGGUGUUUCGUUUUCAUUUUUAUGUACAUACACACCUCAUUAUGGAUUUCUUGAACAGUGACAUGUCUAAUGUGCCCCCCACCACCGCUGUCACCACUGCAGGCCUGCAGAUGCAUUACCUGCGCGAAAUACUCCUCUGAGAUGCGCCCUGCCCACUCGAUACACAGCUCCAGUGGUCGGCACGGGUUCGAGAUGUCUGCGCACUUAAUCAGCAUGCGUUUCACCAGGAUCCGGUUCUCUGGGGACGUCAAGAUGCCUUUCACUGAAUCCUCGUCUCCAUUCCCCUUUAAGCCAACAGCCGAGAGCAGAGCAUUCAACAUUAUACACACACUAAAGCAAAAUUUAACUAGGAUCCCCAUAAACCAGAAGCCUCACAGAGAAUCUAAGCACAUGGGCUGCACCGGGCAUAUUUACAUCACCGGAGAGCUUCCCGAGUACCAGGAAUCAGUCACUGCCACCCGGAGACCCUGAUUUAUUUGUAAUUAGCAAGCAGGGGGGUGUUCCAUGAAACAAGGUUUCUCAGUUAGCUGGGUUAGGGUUAGAAGUCAUGAUUGUCCAAUUAGAAUUGAAGUAAGGAGCAUUCCUAUUGGACAGUCAUGACUGCUAACUUAAAUUAACCCUGCUAAUUGAGAAAUGUUGAGGAAGUCUUUGUGGAACACCCCCCCCCCACACACAC